CUGCUGGACUCAAGAAGUUGUCCUCUGUCUCCUCACAUCUGUUGCACUUCUUACUACUUUUUCUUGGUAGUACCUCAGCUGAACGAAUUGAAUAGAGGGAGUUAAGGGAGUGCAGCAGUGGGAUUAUAAAUUGCUUUCCUUCAGCAAAGGUCUUUGUGUCAUGCCUCUUGUACAGAUGCUUUAGACAGUGCAGCUGGGAUUCACUCCUUCUUUAGGUGUCAAAAUGUGCUGGUUGAAACCUGACGAUAAAUGGUAAAGAAGUGGGGGGAUGCUGAAUUGUGUUUCAUAUGUUUACAUCUUCUCCUUUUUCUUCUUCCCAUUGUGAGCACAAUUAAAAGCAAAGAUUCUUUUUACUUACCUGAAAAAGAUCUGUUAAACACUUCCUCUGCCUCUGCCACUUGCGUACUCAUCGUGGUCUUUGUGCUCCAGCAUCUUCCUGUCUGAAGUUCAGACACAACCUUGCACUCGUGUCUGCUGUGUCAGCCAUGAUGAACACUUCCUCUAUGGCCUAGAAUCUUUUUGGGGCACUUUAUUUUCCGGUUAAAUUGGCAUCAGUAGUGUAAGUAUGAGCCCAAAACCUUCCCUGGUUCUUGUUUGAAGUUUGCUUUCUGCUGCUUGAGUUGCUUCAGGUCAUGCUGUCAGUUGAGUCUGGUGUGUGCCUGUUAAUGAUCUAGGUGUUCACAGCAUGCAGAAGGAGUCAGAUGGCCCUAAGGCAGCAAAGGUGAAAGUCCAAAACUUUUACACCUUAAAAACAGAUUGUCAGAGCAAGCUCCCCCAUCCGAGGUGACUCGUAAGGGUGGAGAGUUGGGAAGAGAAAUAAGGAUUUGAUCACACGGUGUAUGAGGUUGAACAUAAACACCACUUCUUUGAGCAUGUUCUCCCUUGUGACUGGUGAAUUCCUUUGUAGCGUGUGACCCUUCAAGGAUUUCAAACUUAUUUUUGAAUUUACAUGCAAAAAUUCACUGCUUUCUGAAGUGUAGUGAUCAUAGUAGGACAGCUCCUUAAGAUCUUGCAUCCAGGAGUGCUCUGCAUGGCUGCUGAAGGCAGAGAUUCCACUUGAUUGUCAUUCCUGCCAAAUUCCGCUAUUAUUGCUCUUGGCACUGAAAUUGACUGGUGUGUUAGAAUUAAUUACUUAAAUGAAACGUUCAUAAAACAUCUAAUAGCAGUUUAAAGUCCAAUCACUUCUCGCAUGUCUUUCCCACAUAGAUACUGUGAACCCACUAUUCCCAUAUGGGAUGUGCGUACCAAAGAGGAUGUUGGGCCCUCGGUUGGUUUUAUGGGAUGUUGCUGUGCCUUCCCUGUCCAGGGAAACGGGUGUUCAACCAAAGAAAGAGUUCUAUACGUGAUGCUUAGGAUGUGUCUUCAAGCAGCCCUUCUGACUAGAGUUGAUUGACCAUUUGUUGUUGCUGCUGAAGCAUGAUACAUCUCCCGGAGAAGACGAAGUGCACUGCUAAGGUGAGCGAAAGUACUCAGUGCAACUCCUGAUGAGAGGUUCAUUCAGUUUGUUCUCUGCAGAGUUAGAACUAGUUAAGACCAACCUGGAAAGUUACCACCAUGCUGUCCUCUGCCAACUACUCGUUCCUGAAGUAGCAUUAUUUAAGUUUCAGACAGAUUAUAUUCCUCCUUGUGAUUAUUUUUUUCUUUUCCCUAAUUUAUAGGUGCUUAUUAGUUCCUCAGACAACUUUUGAUACGCGUGUCUCUUCCCCAGCAGUUCUAACAGUGAAAUUGUGGUUUGUGAUCUACUUUUGUCAUUAUGUCUGCUUGCGUUUAUUUUCUGUCUAGAUCUGCUGACCUUUCAACACCAAAAAUAGAGAGUGAAAACAGUUUUCUGCCACGUUGAUAGAUAUAGCAACGCUCUCUGCAAUGCUGUGUUUGCUUUUUGAGACUUUGUGAUAGGUGGUUUGAUAAUUGUCAGUCUUGCAGCUCAUUAACACCUACUCUGGCUUUCCCUGCUCGGAAUCCUGAUUCUUGUUUUGUAUCAGAAGCUGUAGUCUUCAGCUGCUCUUCAAGCUUAGUUGAUUUAAUUUCUGGCAGCUAUUUUUAACCUUACAAUGUUAAAGAAUUGUUUGCCUUCACCAGCUUGAAUACCUGUCAAGGGGACAGUUGGAUAGUCUCUUUUAAAACAGUGGUAGAUACUGAGGCCGAGGAAGGUCCGUCUAAUUUAGUGUUUUCUUCCAGAGGUAUUAAACAGUGAUGUAAAGCUCUAAUCGCUUUAUCUGAGGACUAAAAGUGGAGUGCCUAAAAAUAGAACAACAAAGUCUGUUGAAGAGUUACCACCUUUAGUACACCUUUGAAUUAGAAAUUGGAUCUUGGAAGGUGCUGUGACACCAUCUUAGCAUCUGAGAUGCUAAAUAACGUGGUCUGUAAAGUUAUACAUCAUGAUUCUUACCCUUAAAAUGGCUUUAAAAUGCUUUCUGCUGAGAAAGGUGGUUUGUUCUCAUCCUGCAUGUUAAGGCAAGGGGCAUUGGAUGGGAAAUACUAAAAUAGCAUCCCCCUCCUCUGCAGUGACAGGGGCAAUGGCCUCAUGCUGCACUGAGGCAGCAGCAGUCUGCCCAAUGCACCUUGUGUGUAGGAGUUGUGGGGUUGCUGUCAGUUCUGCAAGUCUUGUGGCCCAGAAUGGGAACAAUCCUGUAGGUUUUGUUUAUGGGAAGUUAAUGGGAGUUUAGUAUGAGAAAAUAACUUCUCUUUUUGGCUAAAAUAUUAUAAGUUGAGCAUCCCUGCUCAUUGCAGGGAGGUUGGACUAGAUGACUUUUGACGGUCCCUUCCAACACAAACCAUUCUAUGAUUCUAUAACCUGUGUUAGGAUAAACUUAUUGCCGAUCAGGGACAAAUGUUAAGGGAAGGGUGACCCAUGGGGAGAUAGGCCACGGGGGGUGAUGUGCACUUGGCAUGUGUAAGCUUGUUUUUUCUUACCUCAGAAGUCAACAUCUGUGUGGGUUUGCUGGUGUGGCAGUGGUGAAUACAUCUAAAUCUAUGGCAUUCCUCUAUGCUAGGAAGGGCUUUCUUGGCGUGGUGUCAUCUGUAGUAUGGGGAACUGUGUAAGACGUAGCAGCCUCUUCCAUUGAAUUCCUUUCUCCAGAGGUAUUACAUUAUCUUACAGUUGUUAUGUCCUUCCCUGAGCUGUCAUGUUUUGUUAGUCCCUGCAUGAGUACUGAGAGGCUUGAGUAGAAGUGGUGUUAAAGGAAGUUUCUUGUUCAUAUUUAAUGAUCUGGGGAUAAAGUUAAAGCAGUCUGUUUAUGAAUGUUUUCUCUUUCAGGAGAGUGUGUUACAGGGAUUUUCACAUCUGUACUUGCCAGACUUAAUUUCUUGUUUUCUCUAUGUUGACUCCAGUAUCCAUAUUUGAUGUGCCUUGUUGGACAGUUCCUUCUCAUUUUGUGACAAGGAGGGCAGGCCGUGUGAAGCUUCCACUGCAUUUCCAAGUCUUGCUGUAAACUUGAAUUCCUUCUUUCCACUGUUGCAUUCAAGCUGCUGCUGAUUGUGUUGCUGUUCCUGCGACACCUUCAAACUCAACCUGUGCUGCUAUAAGACCUCUCAUAUGUAGGGUUCUUCUCUAAUUCUACCUGAUGCUUCAUCAUCUGGGCCAGGUUGGCUCUAGCUCUUAUCUCUCUGCAUUGAGUUAAGCUCUUCAACUUUCAGAUAGUGCAGAUACCAACAUCCAAACUCCCAGGCAGGUUUGUGGCUGCUCUGUGUUCCACCAUGUAACACUCCUGCUCCCUGUACCAGGGUUUUCCCACUCUCCUUAAAACUUCUGUAAUCUUCCUCAGGCAGCUGAGUGCAUUAGUUCCUUUUGCCCAUCAGAGCACAAGGCACAGUGAAAUAAAAACAGGCAAGGGGAUGGAUGGCAGAGUGGCUGAGCUGAGGAAGGAGAGGCGUGAUUGCGGCUUGAUCCUUUGCCCGUUACUCACCCAGUUAAGCCCAGCCUUGGAGAGAGGAUCAGUCCUGAUUCCCAGCUCGGGGAGCAUCUUCCUCUGCAGCCUUAGUGCUGGACAAGCGCUGAGGGGCAGCGAUGGCCCUGGGCAGACUGGGGACAGUGAUCUGAGGAGUUGAGAGCAGUGGUGCUGUUCAUUUUUCAGCACACGUUUCCCACUCUCAUUUCUCGUGGCAAUGAAAGGAAUGGUGCUGCACAGGGAGGUGGGGAGUGCGUACCCUCGAUUGCUCACAGUGCUUGUCUCUCUGGCACAUAGAAUCAUAGAAUCAACAAGGUUGGCAAAGACCUUUAAGAUCAAGUCCAAUCAUUACCUAGGACUGCCUAGUAACUGGGAAAGCACAACAUUGCCAUCGCUGCCCUUGUCCUUCCAGCACACUUUAACGAAACAGUCACGUUUUGGGAAGAAAUCUGUGAAAAUAAGGUAGAAGUUGCCGUGUUUGGGGAGAGGGAGGUUGCUUGCAAGGGCAGAAGUUGUUUUUAUUUCAGACAGAAGGCUUGGCUGCUGAGAAUCAUAGAAUCCCAGACUGGUUUGGGUUGGAAGGGACCUUAAAGCUCAUCCAGUUCCAACCCCCUGCCAUGGGCAGGGACACCUUCCACUAGAGCAGGUUGCUCCAAGCCCCGUCCAACCUGGCCUUGAGCACUGCCAGGGAUGGGGCAGCCACAGCUUCUCUGGAUUUGUCUUCCCAAGUGAUUUUAUUCCAGUGCUUGGUCAGGUUAAUUUCUGCUCAUUUCAGGGUGCUUUUCUGUUUUAAACUACCUUUUCCUUAACUGAUUAAUUGGAUCUUCAUUUUUAAAAAGCAUUCGGUCAGGGAACAGGGCUUUGGGAAGGAGGGGUUUGGUGUCAGCAGGUGACUUUGAGGUGUCUCUAAAAAGCAUUCAUAAAUUUUCUUUGCACUUUAAAUUUCCCUUAAGCAUCAUGAUUGUAGCAUGGUUAUACCUCUCAGCAGGUGGAGUCUUUGCAUUUGAGAGAGGAAAAACAACUUUAAAUAUUUGUAGAUGCCUUAAAGGUUGAGAUGAGGUGUUUGGGCCCUGGUUGUGCCUGUUGUUUGAUUUUCCUCCUGGAACGCUGUGUGCUGAGCAUACAGAGCGGGUCCAAACCUUGGGUGGUAUUUCUGAGUGUUGGUGGAAGCUGCUGCUGCAGUGUGCUGCUGGUCUGAGCCUUCAGUAGGAAUUCCAAUUCCUACUGAAUGCCACUAAAAUAGCUGGGAGCUCCCGUGCCUGUACAGCUGUCUGGGCUUACACCUUCCCUUUUUCCCCCCUUUCCCAGAAAUAGAUUUAUUCACUGUGGCUCUCCAGCUCUAAUGGGUUUUCUUCUUCCUGGGGUAGUGUAGAGUACUCUGUGAGCGUCCCAUUGCAUUAAAGGAAACACAGAUCCUUGCUCAAACACUUCCCUGGUGUACCAGCUGAUGUUUGCAAGAGAAGCGGGAGCAGAGGAAUCUUGUGCCACCCCUAACAUUUGUGAAAAUGGGACUUCCCAUCUCCCAUUUGUCUCAAAGCUCUGCUGGGUUCCUGAUGUCAGACUAGCUAUGAGUUAUAGCACAAAACAAAGCGGUACGACACGCUACGCUGCCAGAGAAGCAACCCAAGCCACACUUAGGGGAAGGAGCACACGUGUGCUGUGAGUGCAGGUGGUUCCAGACUGGUGGCAGGCAGCUGGCUGAUGGUAACACUUCCAGCAUCUUCAGCAGGAGUCAGGGAAACCUCUUUUUGGUCCAGAUGAGCUCCAUGCUGCUGCUCCUGGUACAAGAUCUUUUCUUUCUGUCACUUUCUGCUCUCCUAGCUGUGUAUGCAUGAUGGCUUUUGCAUACAUAGCUGUGUUACAGGAGCCCUGAAUUCUGUGGGAGAAGGGCUCCCUGUUCUAGGACAAACACACAGUGCAGGUCUCCUGAGAGGAGACUGCUAUCUGCACCAGUACCUCCCUUCUCCACCAUUGCUUGUGGGUAUCAAUACACCAGUAUGUGUCCAAAGCUCCUUCAUGCUCUUAUCAAUCUCCAGAGAUUUUAGAGGGCUCGGAGGACUCCUGAAGUGUGCUGCUGCUGAAAUUUUAAGAACAACUGAAGUUUGAACCUGUGAAAACAUUUUCCUAGUGCCUUAUGCUUGUGAAUUUUGUGCAAUGGGUGUAGCUGAGCUGGGACAGAGCAAGGAACAACUUCAGUAGCGUGGUUCCCCAUCCACUUCAGUCAUCUCCCUCUCUCUUCCUUUGCAGUGUCAUGGCAGGCAGACACCCACAGAUCACCUCUAGCAGCCUGGGGAUGCUUUUUUAUACUUUUGAGAUGUGGGGUUGUAGAAACCUCACGCUGAGUGGUUGCAUUUGAGAGGAGCUGUGGUCUCGCCUCUGCCAGUCGUGGAUUCAAAGGGGUUUGGGAGAGACAAAGCUGCUCUGAUGGCUAAACCCCAUGGUGGAGGACAUGGGCAGUUGUUCCCAAGCGCACAAGUCAGGGUGAGUUUGCUGCUCUCCACUGAGGCCAUGUUAUAUAUGCUGUACUUAUUUCAUGCUUUAUUUCAUGUUUUGAUUGGCCUAAUUGUUGCUUGGUUUGUAUAUUAAUAAAGAGGCAUUUUAACUA
rnacentral:lncRNA from 1 species